rnacentral:tRNA from 1 species
GGGGCAGUAGCUCAGUGGUAGGGUUUCCGUGUGGUGUGCUGGAAGACCUGAAUUCGAUUCUCGGCUGCUUCC